AGUGAACGCUGGCGGUAGGCCUAACACAUGCUAGUCGAACGGCAGCACAGUAAGAGCUUGCUCUUACGGGUGGCGAGUGGCGGACGGGUGAGGAAUACAUCGGAAUCUACUUUUUCGUGGGGGAUAACGUAGGGAAACUUACGCUAAUACCGCAUACGACCUACGGGUGAAAGCAGGGGAUCUUCGGACCUUGCGCGAUUGAAUGAGCCGAUGUCGGAUUAGCUAGUUGGCGGGGUAAGGGCCCACCAAGGCGACGAUCCGUAGCUGGUCUGAGAGGAUGAUCAGCCACACUGGAACUGAGACACGGUCCAGACUCCUACGGGAGGCAGCAGUGGGGAAUAUUGGACAAAGGGCGCAAGCCUGAUCCAGCCAUACCGCGUGGGUGAAGAAGGCCUUCGGGUUGUAAAGCCCUUUUGUUGGGAAAGAAAAGCAGCAGGUUAAUACCCCGCUGUUCUGACGGUACCCAAAGAAUAAGCACCGGCUAACUUCGUG
rnacentral:rRNA from 1 species